rnacentral:rRNA from 1 species
CCUACGGGAGGCAGCAGUGAGGAAUCUUGGUCAAUGGCCGUAAGGCUGAACCAGCCAAGUCGCGUGAAGGAAGAAGGAUCUAUGGUUUGUAAACUUCUUUUAUAGGGGAAUAAAGGUAUCCACGUGUGGAUAUUUGCAUGUACCCUAUGAAUAAGCAUCGGCUAACUCCGUGCCAGCAGCCGCGGUAAUACGGAGGAUGCGAGCGUUAUCCGGAUUUAUUGGGUUUAAAGGGUGCGUAGGUUGUUUUUUAAGUCAGCGGUGAAAGUUUGUGGCUCAACCAUAAAAUUGCCGUUGAAACUGGAAGACGUGAGUGUGUUUGAGGUAAGCGGAAUGCGUGGUGUAGCGGUGAAAUGCAUAGAUAUCACGCAGAACUCCGAUUGCGAAGGCAGCUUACUAAGCCAUAACUGACACUGAAGCACGAAAGCGUGGGGAUCAAACAGGAUUAGAUACCCUUGUAGUC